rnacentral:rRNA from 1 species
GAUGAACGCUAGCGAUAGGCUUAACACAUGCCAGUCGAGGGGCAGCACAAGGUAGCUUGCUCUCUGGGUGGCGACCGGCGCACGGGUGCGUAACGCGUAUGCAACUUGCCCUAUACAGGAGGAUAACCCGUCGAAAGACGGACUAAUACUGCGUAUGCUCACAACUUGGCAUCAAGUGGUGAGGAAAGAAAUUCGGUAUAGGAUAGGCAUGCGUCCCAUUAGCUUGUUGGUGAGGUAACGGCUCACCAAGGCAACGAUGGGUAGGGGAACUGAGAGGUUUAUCCCCCACACUGGUACUGAGACACGGACCGGACUCCUACGGGAGGCAGCAGUGAGGAAUAUUGGUCAAUGGGCGCGAGCCUGAACCAGCCAAGUCGCGUGAAGGAUGACUGUCUUAUGGAUUGUAAACUUCUUUUAUACGGGAAUAACAAGAGUCACGGGUGACUCCCUGCAUGUACCGUAUGAAUAAGCAUCGGCUAACUCCGUG